rnacentral:tRNA from 1 species
AUUCAAAUAGUUUAAAAUAAAAUAUUGGUUUGUGGUUCCAAAGAUAUACUUGUAUUUUGAAUU